UACGGAGGGUGCAAGCGUUAUCCGGAUUUACUGGGCUUAAAGGGUGUGUAGGCGGGCUAUUAAGUCAGUGGUGAAAUCUCCGGGCUCAACCUGGAAACUGCCAUUGAUACUAUUAGUCUUGAAUUCUGUUGAGGUGGGCGGAAUAAAUCAUGUAGCGGUGAAAUGCAUAGAUAUCGGAAGGAACACCAGUGGCGAAAGCGGCUUCCUGGUCCAGCACCGACGUUCAGGCACGAAAGCGUGGGGAGCAAACAGG
rnacentral:rRNA from 1 species